GAGUUUGAUCAUGGUUCAGGACGAACGCUGGCGGCGUGCCUAACACAUGCAAGUCGAACGAUGAAUCCAGCACUCAACUGCCUUCAGAAAGACAGAACGAAGCAAGAACUUUCUGGUAGCAGUUGAGCGCUGGAGGAUUAGUGGCGGAUGGGUGAGUAACGCGUGAGCAACCUGCCCUGUACUGUGGGAUAGCCAAGGGAAACCUUGAUUAAUACCGCAUAAUCCCUUUUAACCGCAUGGAAAAGAGGGCAAAGAACUUCGGUACAGGAUGGGCUCGCGUCUGAUUAGCUAGUUGGUGUGAUAAAAGCGCACCAAGGCUGCGAUCAGUAACCGGCUUGAGAGAGUGAACGGUCACACUGGAACUGAGACACGGUCCAGACUCCUACGGGAGGCAGCAGUGGGGAAUAUUGCACAAUGGAGGAAACUCUGAUGCAGCGACGUCGCGUGAGCGAAGAAGGAAUUCGUUUCGUAAAGCUCUGUCCUAUGGGAAGAUAAUGACGGUACCAUAGGAGGAAGCCCCGGCUAACUACGUGCCAGCAGCCGCGGUAAUACGUAGGGGGCGAGCGUU
rnacentral:rRNA from 2 species